GAGCCAUUAGCUCAAUUGGUAGAGCAUCUGACUUUUAAUCAGAGGGUCAGAGGUUCGAAUCCUCUAUGGCUCACCA
rnacentral:tRNA from 1 species